rnacentral:rRNA from 1 species
AAUCCAUAGGUUAAUGAGGCGAACCGGGGGAACUGAAACAUCUAAGUACCCCGAGGAAAAGAAAUCAACCGAGAUUCCCCCAGUAGCGGCGAGCGAACGGGGAGGAGCCCAGAGCCUGAAUCAGCAUGUGUGUUAGUGGAAGCGUCUGGAAAGGCGCGCGAUACAGGGUGACAGCCCCGUACACAAAAGCGCAUGUGCUGUGAGCUCGAUGAGUAGGGCGGGACACGUGGUAUCCUGUCUGAAUAUGGGGGGACCAUCCUCCAAGGCUAAAUACUCCUGACUGACCGAUAGUGAACCAGUACCGUGAGGGAAAGGCGAAAAGAACCCCGGCGAGGGGAGUGAAAAAGAACCUGAAACCGUGUACGUACAAGCAGUGGGAGCACCCUUCGGGGUGUGACUGCGUACCUUUUGUAUAAUGGGUCAGCGACUUAUAUUCUGUAGCAAGGUUAACCGAAUAGGGGAGCCGGAGGGAAACCGAGUCUUAAUUGGGCGUUAAGUUGCAGGGUAUAGACCCGAAACCCGGUGAUCUAGCCAUGGGCAGGUUGAAGGUUGGGUAACACUAACUGGAGGACCGAACCGACUAAUGUUGAAAAAUUAGCGGAUGACCUGUGGCUGGGGGUGAAAGGCCAAUCAAACCGGGAGAUAGCUGGUUCUCCCCGAAAGCU